UACGGGGGGCAAGGGCGUUGUUCGGAAUUACUGGGCGUAAAGCGUGCGCAGGCGGUUGUGCAAGACAGAUGUGAAAUCCCCGGGCUUAACCUGGGAACUGCAUUUGUGACUGCACGGCUAGAGUGUGUCAGAGGGGGGUAGAAUUCCACGUGUAGCAGUGAAAUGCGUAGAGAUGUGGAGGAACACCGAUGGCGAAGGCAGCCCCCUGGGUCAAGAUUGACGCUCAUGCACGAAAGCGUGGGGAGCAAACAGG
rnacentral:rRNA from 1 species